rnacentral:rRNA from 1 species
GACGAACGCUGGCGGCGUGCCUAAUACAUGCAAGUCGAGCGCUGACGGAUGGUACUUGUACCAACUGGAUGAGCAGCGAACGGGUGAGUAACGCGUGGGGAAUCUGCCACUGAGCGGGGGACAACAUCUGGAAACGACUGCUAAUACCGCAUAAAACCUUUAAACACAAGAUGCAAGUUUGAAAGAUGCAAUGGCAUCACUCAAAGAUGAUCCCGCGUUGUAUUAGCUAGUUGGUGAGGUAAAGGCUCACCAAGGCGAUGAUACAUAGCCGGCCUGAGAGGGUGGUCGGCCCCAUUGGGACUGAGACACGGCCCAAACUCCUUCGGGGGGCAGCCGUAGGGGAUCUUCGGCCAUGGGCGGCAGUCUGGCCGAGCAACGCCGCGUGAGUGGAGAAGGGUUUCGGAUCGUAAAACUCUGUUUGUAGAGAAGAACGUGGGUGAGAGUAGAAAGCUCAUCAAGUGACGGUAACUACCCAGAAAGGGACGGCUAACUUCGUG